UCCUCGGUGGCUCAGAUGGAGAGAGCGUCUGCCAUAUAAGCAAAAGGUCCUGGGUUCGAGUCCCGGUCGGGGCA
rnacentral:tRNA from 1 species